UCUCAGUGAUGAUUCAAAAUGAUGACGAGUCCGAUCUAUAUCCAUUCCAUUAAACCUGACGACAAAUCGAGGCAUUUGUCUGAGAGAA